rnacentral:rRNA from 1 species
GAUGAACGCUGGCGGCGUGCCUAACACAUGCCAGUCGAGCGAACGGACGAGAAGCUUGCUUCUCUGAUGUUAGCGGCGGACGGGUGAGUAACACGUGGAUAACCUACCUAUAAGACUGGGAUAACUUCGGGAAACCGGAGCUAAUACCGGAUAAUAUUUUGAACCGCAUGGUUCAAAAGUGAAAGACGGUCUUGCUGUCACUUAUAGGUGGAUCCGCGCUGCAUUAGCUAGUUGGUAAGGUAACGGCUUACCAAGGCAACGAUGCAUAGCCGACCUGAGAGGGUGAUCGGCCACACUGGAACUGAGACACGGUCCAGACUCCUACGGGAGGCAGCAGUAGGGAAUCUUCCGCAAUGGGCGAAAGCCUGACGGAGCAACGCCGCGUGAGUGAUGAAGGUCUUCGGAUCGUAAAACUCUGUUAUUAGGGAAGAACAUAUGUGUAAGUAACUGUGCACAUCUUGACGGUACCUAAUCAGAAAGCCACGGCUAACUACGUG